GCGGGAGCCUGAUCCAGCCAUGCCGCGUGCAGGAUGACGGCCCUAUGGGUUGUAAACUGCUUUUAUACGGGAAGAAACGCACCUACGUGUAGGUGUCUGACGGUACCGUAAGAAUAAGGACCGGCUAACUCCGUGCCAGCAGCCGCGGUAAUACGGAGGGUCCGAGCGUUAUCCGGAAUCAUUGGGUUUAAAGGGUCCGUAGGCGGGCCUGUAAGUCAGGGGUGAAAGUUUGUGGCUCAACCAUAAAAUUGCCUUUGAUACUGCAGGUCUUGAGUCAUGGUGGGGUUGCCGGAACAUGUGGUGUAGCGGUGAAAUGCAUAGAUAUCACAUAGAACACCGAUCGCGAAGGCAGGUGACCAACCAUGUACUGACGCUGAUGGACGAAAGCGUGGGUAGCGAACGGGAUUAGAUACCCCGGUAGUCCACGCCGUAAACGAUGGAUACUAGCUGUGGGGACUUCGGUCUCCGUGGCCAAGCGAAAGUGAUAAGUAUCCCACCUGGGGAGUACGUUCGCAAGAAUGAAACUCAAA
rnacentral:rRNA from 1 species